UCGUGUGCCCCUGGGAUCAUGAUAUUCUCAAGUGUGUGGGUGGGUCCUUUCUUUUUUGUAAUACUUGGUGUUUGAUGUCUACAUCUUGCUGAUUUAUUUAAGACUUGUUUGGGAAUCCAAAAACUGAGGAGUAUAGUUUAAAAAAAAACUGAGGAGUACCACUGGCUGUCAGAUUUUGUGGUGCUAUUGAAUUCUAGUAUGUGAAAUGUUGCGUGAAUUUGGAUUCCAAGAAGUUGUGGGAAUCAGUCAUAUUUGGAACGCCUUGUACUGUGUGAAAAUCUUGUUGCUUCCGGUCCAAGGAGCAUCGGAUGAAAGAUACUGUG
rnacentral:lncRNA from 1 species